AUGCGGCGGUGUCGGGGCGCGGGGCUGGCGGCGCUGGCCGCGCUGCUCAUCGUGGCUGUAGUCAGAGCCCAAGUGGAGCAGGAGCCAUUUCUGGAGACCACCGAGGGCACCAGCAUCACCAUCAAGUGCUCACACCCCAAUAUCCGGAAAGGCCUUUUCAUCUACUUCUACCGUCAGCUGCCGGGCCAAGGGCCCGAAUUUCUGGCAAUGAGUACCAAAGCGUCCAAGGAAGUGCGAUCGCCUGAAGGGCGCCUGUCGGUGUCGGCAGAUCGGCGAUCCAGCGCGCUGUGGCUCGGCCGGCCCCGGCGCGGGGACGCGGCCGUGUAUUACUGCGCGCUGGGGGCCACGGGCAGAGGAGCCGGGGCUGCGGCCGGGCACGAACCGCCGCGGGCGGGAGCCGGGGCUCAGGGGCACAGCGAGGCUCGGCCGGCGGAGCGGCGGCAUGCGGCGGUGUCGGGGCGCGGGGCUGGCGGCGCUGGCCGCGCUGCUCAUCGGUGCGCGGGGCUAG